CGUGGGCGUGGAGACUGGACAGCCGGCCAGGCCCCCCGCCCUCCCUCUGAGGACCUGUCCGUUCUGUGCCCUGAGUAGCCUCUGCUGUGCCGAUUGGUGGGGACACUUCCUGGCCCUUCAACGUGGGCUUGCCCGCUGGGAACCCUGGGUGUAAAACUCCCCGGAGCAGACAGGGCUGAAGCUGCAGCCUGAAGCAGAGCCCCUGCUGAACAGCAGACCCACAGCCGGACACAGGCUUACUCUUUUCACUGUGAAACUUGGAAGGUCAUUUGAGCAGCGUUAUGUCAGCAAAAGCCUGCCUGAGACACGGCGCUUUCAUAUUAUUUCAGAAAUCUUUGCAAGAGGUUGUCGAAACAUGGGGGGAUCGGUGUUACCUGGUUUGAGCAAAGACAGGCUGUGAUGCCAGCACACCGGCUGCUCCUGUCUCUGGCCGCAGCGCUCUCUGAGCUGGGUUGCCCGGAGGAAGACCCACGUGGCUGGAAUCUUGCCUCUCAGACGCCGUCCUCCGAGGCACCAGGGCCCUGCACUCCUGCCCCUCACUGAUGCCCGCUCAUCGUCCCUGCCGGCCACGCCCAGCUCCCCGCUCACUCACCUCUCCUCACUUCUGCGUCUUCCUUAGGAGCGCCCAAUGCUGAUGGAGGGUGUGCUUCCAUAAGAAGAUCAUACCACACAGACUUUAUCCCAGUGGAAAUUAAGAGAAAAAAGACAAAGAUAAAUGAAGAAGCAACUAGAAUCCUCAUCGAUGCUCCUGGCCACGUUAAAAUGCACAACUGCUUGGAAAGCUUGGCAGGUCCUGGUAAAACUAACCACACAAUUACCCAUGACUUAGCGGUGAUAGUGCAAGAUAUUUACCUGAAAGAAAUAAGUUUAUUUUGACAAAAGGAUUUGCACAGACAUGUUCACAUGGCUUUGUUUGUAACAACCUCUCACUGGAAGCAGUCCAAGUGUUCAUAAAGAGACAAGUGGAUAAUCAGAUUGUGCACAUUCAUACAAUGGGAUAAAAGAGCAGUGAAAAAGGGACAACCUACUUAUACAAGUGAUGACAUGGCUGAGACUGACAGCCAUCAUGAAGAAAGGGAGGAGUUGGAGGCAAAGGGCAGAGACUAAUGAAGCCACUGCGUGAAGUUCUUGCGCAGGAAACACUAAUCUGUGGUGACAACAAUCAGAAAAGUUUGCUCUGUGGUGACUGUGAGGUGUAUGAGGGGACUUUGGAGGUGGUGGGAUGUUCAGCAUUUUUAUGGUUACAUGGGUGCACGCACCUGUCAGACCCCAUCAAAUUGUACACCGAAGGUUUGUGCACUUCACUGUAUGUAAAUUGUAGGUAAAAACAAAGGAAACCCGAGGAAACCUACAAACAUCGAGCUCUGGUUACAGGCUUGCUUUUAUCACUUUUAUGGGUUAACACACCCAAAACUGCUUUCCGGGUGUCCCCGGGCUCAGCAAAUGAGCGCCUGUUCUGGGAAAGUGGGAGCCCGUGCUUCUCACAGUAGGAGAAAGGAGCUCCAUGUAUUGAAGAGGAAGGAUUAGGCUCUGCUCCGUGGUUUUGGAUUGUAAUGUGAGGUAUAUUCAGUAAACUCAUAAUUUUAUUUUUACAGGUAGAGAAGUAUCAACAUACGUUGUGCAGCUGUCUGUAUCUGUCUCUGAAUCUAUUUCUUCCCUAGGUCUUGGUUUCUAAUCAUCUCUCUUUCCAGGAGGAAACAAAACACCCAGGAACUGACUGAUCUGGGUUGGGGCCAGGAAAGCCCAGAGAAUUUUGUUUUCCAGAAAUUUCCUCCAAAUCACUAGACUCGUCCAGACUUCUGUUCCUGGCAAAGUGAAGUGCCAAGAUGCCAGUCUGCUGGGCUGGCCCCAGAGGUUGGCUGGUUCCUUGCACCUCUGCCUCUGAGGACCACUCUGGACUCCAUCCCAGGACUGGGACCCCACCACACUACUCACCAGAAGAAAGAGACCAUCAGGCCAGAUAAAAAGCAAGAUUCAACUCUAUGAUGCCUGUAAUAAACAUUCUUUUAAUAUAAAGACACUAAGUUAAAAAAAUGCAUGAGUAAAAAGAGAGAGAAUAAGAUGGCAGAGGAGAAGGUGACGUGGAGUACAUCUCUCUCCACGGAUACAUCAGGAAUACAGCUUCAGACACAGAAGUGCAUGCAGAAUACCAGCUGAGAGCCGACAGGAGGACCUGACCACGGAGAAGAACAUAUAGACCACGCAAAACUCGGUGGGACGAAGGAACCGGGGGAGAAACAGGAGUGUUGGUAGGAUUGGACCUGCCCUUGGUGGGUGAGGGAACUGAAGCAGGGAUCUGACCCCGCAUCAGGGCAGUGUCUGAGUCAGAGGAGAAACCUGAGAGUGAAACAGCUGAUCUGUGGCAGCCUGAAUGGCAUGAGAAGCAGACAGUCCUUGCAGCAGCCACACAUAGGUGGGGCAGGAAUGUGGGUCUCCUGGAAGGCCCAGCGCCUGGGAGCUGGAGUUGAGAGAUUGUGGAACAACCCCAGGGCGAGGGCUGCCAUUGACUGUGGAGAGACGGAUGGAGGGGAUGUGAGGGAGGAGAUGGUGGUGGGAAAUGCCUGUGGAGGAAAGCCAGGCAGCCAUGGAAGCAAGGUGAUACUGCUGAGUCAAGCGUAGGGGGUGGAGUCAUCACCAUAGCCUCUCUCUCCCCACAGGCCAGCAUCGCUGAACAAUAGAGAGGCUGCCCCGCCAAACGCCUGACACACUGAACUACAGAGAAGGACCCCAGUCAGGGGGCCCCUCUACGUGCUUGAGCACCAAACAACAGAGAAGGAUGCUCCUUCUCCAGAAGGAACCAUCCACCCAGGAUGCUCCUUUAAGUGCCUGAUGUGCCAAUCUAUAGAGUAGGACCCCAGUCAGGGGGUAGGACCCCAUUCGGUGGAGGGGCGGGGGGGGGGUGCUCUAUGUGCCUGAUGCGCAGAUCUACAGAGCAGGAUCCCACCCAGGGUGCCUCUCUAAGUGCCUGACGCACCAAACUACAUAGUAGGACCCCCCAGGUGCUCCUUUAAGUGACUGAUGUGCCAAUCUACAGAGUAGGACCCCAGUCAGGGUGCCCCUCUAUGUGCCUGAUGCGCUGGUCUACAGAGAAGGGCCCCAGUCGAGGGAUCUUUCUAAGUGCCUGAACGGGCAGAGCUGCAGAGAAAGACUGGCCAAAGAGGCCUUCUGAUCACCAGCUACAAGAGGCUGGAGAAAAGACCAUGAGAGGGCUAUAGACUGCGGCGGAGGCAGUCUGUGUUCCUGCACACUUGGCGCUGCCAGGGUCCCUGCGAGCCAAGCGGCUACACCACCUUCAUGCUCAACCCUCACUGGGGCAGAGCUGCCACAGGC
rnacentral:lncRNA from 1 species